GUGCUCACUUUGGCAGCACAGAUACUAAAAUUGGAAAUGAUACAGAGGAUUAGGACGGCCCUACACAAGACUGGCACGCACACUCGUGAAGCCGUCAUAAUUUUU
rnacentral:snRNA from 1 species